rnacentral:lncRNA from 1 species
GUAUGGUAAUCCUGGAUUGAGGCAUUGUGGUGCUACAACAAGAGAGUAUAUGAAGCUGUAAAUGAAUCAGAAGGAAAUCUAGAAAAACGAAGUAGCUGGUUAGCGGACCGAAUCGGUAUGGUAAAGAUAUGAUCAAUUCCUUGUUUAUGCUCGAGGUAAUAAGCCCUUACGGGUUUUGGGCGGUAGAGCUUUUGAGUUCGGACAGCUUGCUAAGACUGGUGUGGAUAGAAGGAUUUAGUCCUGGCAGUUUAGCUUGUGGUUAGGAAAAGGAGAUGGAGUUUUCAGGUUAUCCUAGUAUGGUAUGGUAUGUGCGGUCUGUUGUGAAGGAUUGGAAUUUGUGUGAGUCAGGUACGGUUCAGUCCGAAUGGAAAGUCGUUAAAUUCUUAAGCAGCACAGGCAGCUGCAGGUGAUUUAAGAAUCUACCCCCAGAUGAUUAGGGAAAAUGGUAUUACUAUCCUAGUAAUUUGACGGGAGUAUACGUUCAGUAAGACGGGAAGGUGAUGUUAACUGAUAACGAUUCGGUGGGAUUGCGGUAGUUUCCUGUUGGACCGACUGUUGACAUUUGAGUUUGUUGAUGGCACAUGGAAAUUUUUGAAUAUCUUUCGUGGAAUGAAUGGGUACUUGAUGUGUAAUAUGUAUUCGUACUGGGAAAUAUGGGACCGGGUAUAGUGAUUUGUGGGUUAUAUGGAGUUGGAGACUAGGAGUUCUCCGAUAUAGUCUAUGCCGCGGUUGUGGAUCGUGAGUAUUCGGCACCGUUUAGUGGCAAUUAUGAUUUGGAGGUUAUA